rnacentral:rRNA from 1 species
UAGAGUAGAGGCGUGCUCGAAGAGAGCCGUAACACAGGUGCUGCAUGGCUGUCGUCAGCUCGUGUCGUGAGAUGUUGGGUUAAGUCCCGCAACGAGCGCAACCCUUGUCAUUAGUUGCUACAUUCAGUUGGGCACUCUAAUGAGACUGCCGGUGACAAGCCGGAGGAAGGUGGGGAUGACGUCAAGUCCUCAUGGCCCUUAUAGGUGGGGCUACACACGUCAUACAAUGGCUGGUACAAAGGGUUGCCAACCCGCGAGGGGGAGCUAAUCCCAUAAAGCCAGUCGUAGUCCGGAUCGUAGUCUGCAACUCGACUACGUGAAGUCGGAAUCGCUAGUAAUCGUGGAUCAGAAUGUCACGGUGAAUACGUUCCCGGGUCUU